UACAGAGGUCUCAAGCGUUGUUCGGAUUCAUUGGGCGUAAAGGGUGCGUAGGUGGCGCUGUAAGUCGGGUGUGAAAUUUCGGAGCUUAACUCCGAAACUGCAUUCGAUACUGCGGUGCUUGAGGACUGGAGAGGAGACUGGAAUUCAUGGUGUAGCAGUGAAAUGCGUAGAGAUCAUGAGGAAGACCAGUGGCGAAGGCGGGUCUCUGGACGUAACUCGACGCUGAGGCACGAAAGCGUGGGGAGCAAACAGG
rnacentral:rRNA from 1 species